GGAAAAAGGAGCAGCAUCAAAACCGUGACACUCAUUCAAAGGGUUCACCACUCGGCAUUCAAUGGUGCUUGCUGCUUCACUCGCCCUCAUUGCUUUUAGAUGACAGAUGAAAUACCCAAAAUCCUGAAAUACCCAAAACAGGAAAAUUGUAAUUAAGAACAAAAAGAGGAAUCAAAUGGUGAUUUCAAGAAGUGGUUGUUAAUGGGAGAAAAUGGAGAAGUGAAGUUUGGAUCUCAUACGUUUCCAUCGAUGGUGAGAAUCAGAGGAGGAAAAGGACGACUUGCUGGAUACACCGCUGUGCUCCUCUUCACCCUGAAUCCAUGCUGGUAUCGAAGACAGAGAAGCCACCAGAGGUGGAGAAUCAGCUUGCUCAUUGAUCCUGUCGCAAUUCUUGGCAAGGGAGUCAUUUUCAUUGUUGUGUUGCUUACCUUC
rnacentral:lncRNA from 1 species